rnacentral:rRNA from 1 species
CCUACGGGAGGCUGCAGUGAGGAAUAUUGGUCAAUGGGCGGAAGCCUGAACCAGCCAAGUAGCGUGAAGGAUGACGGCCCUACGGGUUGUAAACUGCUUUUAUCCGGGAAUAACGCGCCUUACGUGUAGGGCUUUGCAUGUACCGUAUGAAUAAGGACCGGCUAAUUCCGUGCCGGCAGCCGCGGUAAUACGGAAGGUCCGGGCGUUAUCCGGAUUUAUUGGGUUUAAAGGGUGCGGAGGCCGGAUGUCAAGCGCGCUGGUAAAUGUCCGGGCUCAACCCGGGCCUUGCAGCGCGAACUGGCGUGCUUGAGUCCGCGGAAAGCAGGCGGAAUUCGUCGUGUAGCGGUGAAAUGCUUAGAUAUGACGAAGAACCCCGAUUGCGAAGGCAGCUUGCUGCAGCGGAACUGACGCUGAUGCUCGAAAGCGCGGGUAUCGAACAGGAUUAGAUACCCGAGUAGUC